rnacentral:rRNA from 1 species
UGGGGAAUUGUUCGCAAUGGGCGCAAGCCUGACGACGCAACGCCGCGUGGAGGAUGAAGGUCUUCGGAUUGUAAACUCCUGUUGAUCGGGACGAAAAGCUUCAACCUAAUACGUUGAGGACUGACGGUACCGGUUGAGGAAGCCACGGCUAACUCUGUGCCAGCAGCCGCGGUAAUACAGAGGUGGCAAGCGUUGUUCGGAAUUACUGGGCGUAAAGGGCGCGUAGGCGGCCUUCUAAGUCGGACGUGAAAGCCCCAGGCUUAACCUGGGAACUGCGUUUGAAACUGAGGGGCUAGAGUGUGGAAGAGGGGGGUGGAAUUCCAGGUGUAGCAGUGAAAUGCGUAGAGAUCUGGAGGAACACCGAUGGCGAAGGCAGCCCCCUGGGCUAACACUGACGCUCAUGCACGAAGGCGUGGGGAGCAAACAGGAUUAGAUACCCACGUAGUCCCUGAGCGGGCUGGCAAGGCGCAU